rnacentral:rRNA from 1 species
AAUGCUUAGGAAUCUGCCUAUUAGUGGGGGACAACAUUCCGAAAGGAAUGCUAAUACCGCAUACGCCCUACGGGGGAAAGCAGGGGAUCUUCGGACCUUGCGCUAAUAGAUGAGCCUAAGUCAGAUUAGCUAGUUGGUGGGGUAAAGGCCUACCAAGGCGACGAUCUGUAGCGGGUCUGAGAGGAUGAUCCGCCACACUGGGACUGAGACACGGCCCAGACUCCUACGGGAGGCAGCAGUGGGGAAUAUUGGUCAAUGGGCGAAAGCCUGAACCAGCAACGCCGCGUGCACGAUGAAGGCCUUCGGGUCGUAAAGUGCUUUUUAGAGGGAUGAGGAAGGACAGUACCUCUAGAAUAAGUCACGGCUAACUACGUGCCAGCAGCCGCGGUAAAACGUAGGUGACGAGCGUUAUCCGGAAUUACUGGGCGUAAAGCGCGUGCAGGCGGCUUCGCAAGUCGGGCAUGAAAUCUCUCGGCCUAACCGAGAGACGCUGUCCGAUACUGCGGAGCUUGAGGGCAGUAAAAGGUGGCGGAAUUCCGCAUGUAGUGGUGAAAUGCGUAGAGAUGCGGAGG